CCUACGGGUGGCAGCAGUGGGGAAUAUUGCACAAUGGGGGAAACCCUGAUGCAGCGACGCCGCGUGAGUGAAGAAGUAUUUCGGUAUGUAAAGCUCUAUCAGCAGGGAAGAAAAUGACGGUACCUGAUUAUGAAGCCCCGGCUAACUACGUGCCAGCAGCCGCGGUAAUACGUAGGGGGCAAGCGUGAUCCGGAUUUACUGGGUGUAAAGGGAGCGUAGACGGCAGCACAAGUCGGGAGUGAAAUGCCAGGGCUUAACCCCGGAACUGCUUUGGAAACUGUGCAGCUAGAGUGCAGGAGAGGUAAGUAGAAUUCCUAGUGUAGCGGUGAAAUGCGUAGAUAUUAGGAGGAACACCAGUGGCGAAGGCGGCUUACUGGACUGUAACUGACGUUGAGGCUCGAAAGCGUGGGGAGCAAACAGGAUUAGAUACCCGGGUAGUC
rnacentral:rRNA from 1 species